rnacentral:rRNA from 1 species
AGUCGAACGGUAACAGGUGUAGCAAUACAUGCUGACGAGUGGCGCACGGGUGCGUAACACGUAUGCAACCUACCUAUAACUGGGGAAUAGCCUUCCGAAAGGAAGAUUAACACCGCAUAACAUCAUUCUACGGCAUCGCAGAAUGAUCAAACCUCCGGGGGUUAUAGAUGGGCAUGCGUAACAUUAGCUAGUUGGUGAGGUAACGGCUCACCAAGGCUACGAUGUUUAGGGGGUCUGAGAGGAUGAUCCCCCACACUGGUACUGAGACACGGACCAGACUCCUACGGGAGGCAGCAGUAAGGAAUAUUGGACAAUGGGGGCAACCCUGAUCCAGCCAUGCCGCGUGAAGGAUGAAGGCCCUCUGGGUUGUAAACUUCUUUUAUACGGGAAUAAACCCCUCUACGUGUAGAGGGUUGAAUGUACUGUAAGAAUGAGGAUCGGCUAACUUCGUGCCAGCAGCCGCGGUAAUACGAAGGAUCCAAGCGUUAUCCGGAUUUAUUGGGUUUAAAGGGUGCGUAGGCGGGCUAUUAAGUCAGUGGUGAAAGCCCCAAGCUUAACUUGGGAAUUGCCAUUGAUACUGAUGGUCUUGAGUACACUUGAAGUGGGCGGAAUGUGUCAUGUAGCGGUGAAAUGCUUAGAUAUGACACAGAACACCGAUUGCGAAGGCAGCUCACUAAAUUGUAACUGACGCUGAGGCACGAAAGCGUGGGGAUCAAACAGGAUUAGAUACCCUGGUAGUCCACGCCCUAAACGAUGAUUACUCGAUGUGUGCAAUACACCGUACGCGUCUGAGCGAAAGCAUUA